UCCACCCACUCUCCCCCGUGCACUUUCCUGGAUCCACACUGUUCUAGGGACAAGCUGUUCAACUGCGGCGCCCCGUCGCACUGGCAGGUUACGGAGACAUAACUCGGGCAACCAAGCUUUACCUCGACCUCCUCUCUGCACCGGCAAAACGAGCCUCGAAGGCCUUCUAGAGUGCGGCAAGAAAAGCCCCGGCACUCCCAAAGCCACCAAGAAAAGAGCGAAGAACGACCCCACCCCCCGCAGGGCCCCUUCAGACGUUUCCCAGGACUUUGAACCUCGCGACUGAAGAAAAUGGAUGCUCCCCUUCCGCUUCUUCCGUUGCCGAGUCGUCCUGCCAAGCACUGGGGAAGAACACCGAAAACCGUCCCUUCUGAGGAAAAGCGCCCACGGUACAGACCUGGAAAGGUGCUUGAGGAUCUGUUUUUUGAUAAUGCCCGCCAUGGUUCUCGGCUUGUCGCCCGGUUCUUCAGGGAAGGCAAAGAGAGGUGAUUGCUUGGCCCAUCCCCGCGCGGGACUCCUCCAUCCCCGAGAGAAGCAGCGCAGCCGCUUUCGCUCACGCUCUUCCCGGCCCCGCCGCCACCUUGGUUGCAGUAGAGCCAGCUGACAGGCUGAGCUUAAUGGGGCGGGGACAAGGGAGACGCGAGACUGUGGGUGCGCCGCCCAUUUCUCGGCUGCCGCUGCUGGCUUCUAACAAGGGCGCGAGGAGUUGUGUCUCGCGCGCCUUUCUUGCAACACCUUGAAUGAAUUCACAAGCGUUGCGGCGCGAACAAUGCAAUCCCGAUUCACCCUGUUGACAAUUGCAUACGCAUAGGCACCGCUAAGUUAAAACCGGAGUUGCUUUUCUACACGAGCACUCUUAUUGUUAGUUGCGAAGUCGUGUACGACCCAUCACAACCCUAUGGACAACGUUCCUCCAGACCUUCCUAUCCUCUACCUUCCUAUCCUAUACCAUCCUCUGGAGUCUAUUUAAGCUCACGCCUACUGCUUCAGUGACUGCAUCCAGCGACUUCAUUCUCUGUCGUCGUCUUUUGCCCUCAAUCUUUCCCAGCAUGAGUACUCUGUCAGCAAAAGUACUGAAAAUAUCCGAAAGGAUUCUUAGACAAUGUACAGCUAUCAUCACUAUGUGAAUCGUUCAAUACAGAUAGUUUUCGACUUAGAACACUUUGUGUAGUGACCGUUCAAAGAACGAUGGCACUGAAAAAUGUGAAAUGACCAGUUUUCACAGUUACAAGCUUUGUAGCAUUCCCCGUGAUCAGGUGUUCAAAAUUCAGAUACUUGGCAACUGGUUCAUACUUAUGACCAUUGCUAUGUCCCAAGGUCAUGUGAUUACCUUUUGCACCCUUUUGGCAUGCAAAGUCAAUCGGCAACCAGAUUCACUUAACAACCGAGUUACUAACUUAUCAAGUGCUGUGAUUCACUUUACAAUUGUGGCAAGAAGUUGUAAAAUGGGGCAAAAGUCACUUAACAGAAAUUUUGGCCUCAAUUGCCGUAAGUCAAGGACUAUAUAAAUUUUAUAGUUAAACUUAGCUACCUUUUCAACAAUGGUCAAAAAUACAAAGAUGUUCUUUAUGGCAUCCUAAGCCUGGAAGAUAUUUUUU